rnacentral:ncRNA from 1 species
AUGGCAGUCUCCGAAAAGCCAGCGAUAGAGUAGGAC